GACGAACGCUGGCGGCGUGCUUAACACAUGCAAGUGGAGCGACGAACCAGGCUUCGGCCUGGGGCAGAGCCGCGAACGGGUGAGUAACACGUGGGUAACCUGCCCUGAUGACCGGGACAACCCGAGGAAACUCGGGCUAAUACCGGAUGUGCUCCUUCCACAUCAGUGGAUUGAGUAAAGGUAGCUUCGGCCUCCGCAUCAGGAUGGGCCCCGCGGCGCAUUAGCUUGUUGGGGGGUAACGGCCUACCAAGGCGACGAUGCGUAGCUGGUCUGAGAGGACGAUCAGCCACACUGGGACUGAGACACGGCCCAGACUCCUACGGGAGGCAGCAGUGGGGAAUCUUGCGCAAUGCACGAAAGUGUGACGCAGCAACGCCGCGUGGGGGAAGAAGGCC
rnacentral:rRNA from 1 species